rnacentral:rRNA from 1 species
CCUACGGGAGGCAGCAGUGGGGAAUAUUGGACAAUGGGGGCAACCCUGAUCCAGCCAUGCCGCGUGUGUGAAGAAGGCCCUCGGGUUGUAAAGCACUUUCAGUGAGGAAGAACGCCUGGUGGUUAAUACCCAUCAGGAAAGACAUCACUCACAGAAGAAGCACCGGCUAACUCCGUGCCAGCAGCCGCGGUAAUACGGAGGUGGCGAGCGUUAAUCGGAAUUACUGGGCGUAAAGCGCGCGUAGGUGGCUUGAUAAGCCGGUUGUGAAAGCCCCGGGCUCAACCUGGGAACGGCAUCCGGAACUGUCAAGCUAGAGUGCAGGAGAGGAAGGUAGAAUUCCAGGUGUAGCGGUGAAAUGCGUAGAGAUCGGGAGGAAUACCAGUGGCGAAGGCGGCCUUCUGGACUGACACUGACACUGAGGUGCGAAAGCGUGGGUAGCAAACAGGAUUAGAUACCCUUGUAGUC